rnacentral:rRNA from 1 species
CCUACGGGUGGCAGCAGUAGGGAAUAUUGCUCAAUGGGGGAAACCCUGAAGCAGCAACGCCGCGUGGAGGAUGAAGGUUUUCGGAUUGUAAACUCCUUUUGUUAGAGAAGAUAAUGACGGUAUCUAACCAAUAAGCACUGGCUAACUCCGUGCCAGCAGCCGCGGUAAUACGGAGGGUGCAAGCGUUACUCGGAAUCACUGGGCGUAAAGAGCGCGUAGGCGGGAUAGCAAGUCAGAUGUGAAAUCCUAGGGCUUAACCAUAGAACUGCAUUUGAAACUGUUAUUCUAGAGUAUGGGAGAGGUAGGUGGAAUUCUUGGUGUAGGGGUAAAAUCCGUAGAGAUCAAGAGGAAUACUCAUUGCGAAGGCGACCUGCUAGAACAUAACUGACGCUGAUGCGCGAAAGCGUGGGGAGCAAACAGGAUUAGAUACCCUAGUAGUC